rnacentral:rRNA from 1 species
GAUGAACGCUGGCGGCGUGCCUAAUACAUGCAAGUCGAGCGAACAGAUGAGGAGCUUGCUCCUCUGACGUUAGCGGCGGACGGGUGAGUAACACGUGGAUAACCUACCUAUAAGACUGGGAUAACUUCGGGAAACCGGAGCUAAUACCGGGUAAUAUAUUGAACCGCAUGGUUCAAUAGUGAAAGACGGUUUUGCUGUCACUUAUAGAUGGAUCCGCGCCGCAUUAGCUAGUUGGUAAGGUAACGGCUUACCAAGGCAACGAUGCGUAGCCGACCUGAGAGGGUGAUCGGCCACACUGGAACUGAGACACGGUCCAGACUCCUACGGGAGGCAGCAGUAGGGAAUCUUCCGCAAUGGGCGAAAGCCUGACGGAGCAACGCCGCGUGAGUGAUGAAGGUCUUCGGAUCGUAAAACUCUGUUAUUAGGGAAGAACAAAUGCGUAAGUAACUAUGCACGUCUUGACGGUACCUAAUCAGAAAGCCACGGCUAACUACGUG